GGGGGAUAUUGCACAAUGGGCGCAAGCCUGAUGCAGCGACGCCGCGUGAGGGAUGACGGCUUUCGGGUUGUAAACCUCUUUUACUAUUGAACAAGGCGCCAUAUUGGUGGUGUUCAGGGUAGGUGGUGAAUAAGCGCCGGCUAACUACGUGCCAGCAGCCGCGGUAAUACGUAGGGCGCGAGCGUUGUCCGGAAUUAUUGGGCGUAAAGAGCUCGUAGGCGGCUUGUCGCGUCUGCUGUGAAAUCCUGGGGCUUAACUCUGGGCGUGCAGUGGGUACGGGCAGGCUAGAGUGCGGUAGGGGUGAUUGGAAUUCCUGGUGUAGCGGUGGAAUGCGCAGAUAUCAGGAGGAACACCGAUGGCGAAGGCAGGUCACUGGGCCGUUACUGACGCUGAGGAGCGAAAGCAUGGGGAGCGAAC
rnacentral:rRNA from 1 species